UCGGGAAUUUUGGGCAAUGGGCGAAAGCCUGACCCAGCAACGCCGCGUGAAGGAUGAAGUAUUUCGGUAUGUAAACUUCGAAAGAAUAGGAAGAAUAAAUGACGGUACUAUUUAUAAGGUCCGGCUAACUACGUGCCAGCAGCCGCGGUAAUACGUAGGGACCAAGCGUUGUUCGGAUUUACUGGGCGUAAAGGGCGCGUAGGCGGCAAUUCAAGUCAUCUGUGAAAUCUCCGGGCUUAACUCGGAACGGUCAGAUGAUACUGCUUUGCUAGAGUGCAGAAGGGGCAAUCGGAAUUCUUGGUGUAGCGGUGAAAUGCGUAGAUAUCAAGAGGAACACCUGAGGUGAAGACGGGUUGCUGGCCUGUACUGACGCUCAUGCACGAAAGCGUGGGGAGCAAACAGGAUUAGAUACCCCCGUAGUCCCUGAGCGGGCUGGCAAGGCGCAU
rnacentral:rRNA from 1 species